AUUGAACGCUGGCGGCAGGCCUAACACAUGCAAGUCGAGCGGAUGAAGGGAGCUUGCUCCUGGAUUCAGCGGCGGACGGGUGAGUAAUGCCUAGGAAUCUGCCUGGUAGCGGGGGAUAACGUCCGGAAACGGGCGCUUAUACCGCAUACGUCCUGAGGGAGAAAGUGGGGGAUCUUCGGACCUCACGCUAUCAGAUGAGCCUAGGUCGGAUUAGCUAGUUGGUGGGGUAAAGGCCUACCAAGGCGACGAUCCGUAACUGGUCUGAGAGGAUGAUCAGUCACACUGGAACUGAGACACGGUCCAGACUCCUACGGGAGGCAGCAGUGGGGAAUAUUGGACAAUGGGCGAAAGCCUGAUCCAGCCAUGCCGCGUGUGUGAAGAAGGUCUUCGGAUUGUAAAGCACUUUAAGUUGGGAGGAAGGGCAGUAAGUUAAUACCUUGCUGUUUUGACGUUACCAACAGAAUAAGCACCGGCUAACUUCGUG
rnacentral:rRNA from 1 species